GGGGAUGUAGCUCAGUGGUAGAGCACAUGGUUUGUAUGUAUGAGGCCCUGGGUUCUAUCCCCGGCAUCUCCA
rnacentral:tRNA from 1 species